rnacentral:misc_RNA from 1 species
UUUUUUGAUUGGUUAGUCAUUUUGUUCUUUCAUGCUAUUUGUGAAUGCUUGAUAUUUUAUCAUGCUUUUGCCAGUUUGCUGGAAAUGCUUCAGUCUAUGUUCUUGACUGUACAUUAAUUUGACAGAACCACCCAUAUAAUAAGAUGGUAUAUUGUUAACUGUACCAUAUCCAAAAAAAAAGGAUGCUUCUUAAAUGGCUUCUG